rnacentral:rRNA from 1 species
UACGAAGGGUGCAAACGUUGCUCGGAAUUAUUGGGCGUAAAGCGCACGUAGGCGGCUUUUCAAGUCGGAUGUGAAAUCCCUCGGCUUAACCAAGGAAGUGCAUCCGAAACUGGAGAGCUUGAGUACUUAAGAGGAUCGCGGAAUUCCCGGUGUAGAGGUGAAAUUCGUAGAUAUCGGGAGGAACACCAGUGGCGAAGGCGGCGAUCUGGGAAGAUACUGACGCUGAGGUGCGAAAGUGUGGGGAGCGAACAGG